UUCCUAGAUAUAUGUAUUAGA
rnacentral:siRNA from 1 species